GGCCCGAGGAGGAGGAGGAUCCUAGGACCCAGCUCUGUAUUUGGCACUGGUGUGACCACUGCUGGACUACUGAGGGUAAAUAGCCCACAACUCAAGAAGGAUGCUGAGAAACUGGAGCAGGCUCAGAGAAGAGCCACAAGAAUGCCUAAAAGGUCUCUCGGCAGCUUUUGAGCUAUCUUUGUUCACUAACGAAGACAGAGACUAUGAGUACACCAACCCACUGAUGUGACAAACAUUGAUGACUUUACUGACUUGUACUUGUUGUCUUUCAACAUUUGCAGAGCAUGCAGACAAAUUCCAGUUUUAGUGGCAAAAUACCCAUUUGUUAAUGACAAUCCACAACCCAAUCAUUGAGAUCUUUCCCCAAGCCAGCAAAUGAAGUGUACCUUGUUGGACAUUUUUUCUUGCUUCUGGCAUGUCUUUUAGUGUUGUUUUAUUUUUUCACAGUUCUUUUACCUGUUUCUCAUUGAUACGGAAUUCAUGACCAGCAGUACAACUAUUGUUUGUUUUAAGUAUGACCGCUGCAUCAUAAGCAGACCGUUUCAUUUUCUUUUCAUUUCUCUUGAAAUGGUAGUAUGAAAAUCUUAGAAAACAAUUUAGUUAUAGGACUAGUUUAGUUGUAGGACUUUAUAGAGGAAUGUCACCUACUUUAUCACUGUCAAAUUAUAAUUGUACUUUGUUUAUUUUAAAACCGUCCUAUAGAUUGGCAUGUCUCUAGUGAUAACAGGCUAUUUAAAUUUUAUUGCAUAUUUCUUCGAUUCUGCACAUUAUAUUUUCAGAUUGGCAAGAACUUAGGAGGUCCAGUGGUCAACAUGAAUGAAGAAGUCAAAUUACACGGUUGCAGACUGACACCAGUGCCAUAGUACCAUCAUUCCUUGUAUUCUUUUGACUGACUACUCUAGCAUUUUGUGAAACAGAUGGGUCAAAUUUCCUGCAGAUACAAUUUAAAUAAAAAUAAAACUUUAGCACAAUUUUUUUAAAGAAAUGGGUCCAGAACUGACAUUCCAUCAUUGGUGAUCUACAUUAGGGGUCAGCAAACUGGGAGGUUUGUUUACCUGGAACAUCUGCAGGCAUGGAGCCCCGCAACUCCCAGUGGCUGAGAUUUGCCAUUCCUGGCCAAUGGGAGCUGUGGGAAGCACUAUGGGGUAAGGGACAUGCUGGCUCCCAGUUCCUGCCACUCCUGUUGUCCAGGAACAGCAAAUUACAGAUAGUGGAAGCUGCAGGGCUCCAUACCUGCAGAUGCUCCAGAUAAACAAAAUGUUCCCAUGCACCAGCUGCUUCACCGGACAAGACAGGAACCAAAAAUUGCCAACCUCCAAAAUAUAGGCUUGGUUUAAGAAAGAGUUGUAGCAUUUUUCCUUUUUUUUACCUAUUAAUCUUAGAGUGCUGGCUUAUAAAUGAAUAGGCUAGUGAAUGAAUAUAUACAGUGUAUGUUAGAAUAUAUAUGUAAGGCAUAACAAGUUUGUAUUAGGUCAUGCUAAUAUAUUCGGAAUGAUAGUUAUAUAUCAGCUGAAAUAAAUUGUUCCAUUUCUUUAUUAUAUUUGAUACUAGAAGACUUACCAGACGUUACUCUGGUCCUUUAGGGCAGGGGGCUGGUGGUAUCAGGGCAGGGCCUUGAGAAUGGGGGGCAGUGCUGGAGUCUGAGGGCAUGGUAGGUACAGGAGUCACGGUGGCAGAUAGAAGAAGGGCUCGGGGAAGAAGGUUUGGAAAGUAUGUGGGGGUGCGAGAGUAUGGAGGCGCUCAGGGUGGAGGGGUCCCAUCUAGCAGGGUUUUCUUCCACCACUCCCCCCCACCUGGCCAGCAGUCCUCCCAACUGGCAGGGGCCUUUUCUCUCCCCCCAGCCAGCAGGGCUUUUCCCAGUCUCCCCAGUCAGCCGGGUCCUACUCUCACCCCUGCCCAGCAUUGCUUUCACCCUCCCCACUUCCUCUCUGGCACUGCGGCCAAGGUGGUGUGUGGGGGGAGGGUUUGGGGCAGAGAGCUACUUAUCCAGUGUAAGCUCUAACCAUUGUUGAACAAGCAGACUCACAGACAGAUACACUCUAAAAUACAUAUAUAGAAAAAACGUAUAAGCAUCAGCUUUACCUCGUUCAAUGUGCUCUCUUAGCUACACACUCUGUGAAGCGUGAACUGCAUGGUUUGAGAUGAAGCAGUUACUGUAACCUGCUGUUCAUAGUACAAAUGCUCAAAUGUUAUAUCCCCUAUGAAGUCUGCCAACAUUAUUCUAUUUUGAAUGUUUUUCAGUGUCUUCCCUUUGCAGGCCACCAUCUUCAGAGUGAGCCUGUGUGAGCCAUAGAAAAUACUAUUUAAAUUACAAAGGACCAAACACUAAUUUGGGGAUGCGUUAAAGGAACAGCUACAAUGUACUCUGAGAAUUCAUAUUAUCAACACAGUGCAUUCAUAAUUCUUAUAAUAGCACUUUGUACAUCA